UUUCUCUCGUGCUGCUGCUCUAUAAUAACAGGUCUGCUAAAAGUAGUCAGACCUGGAGUAACUACAAACCGGCCAGCCAGGCUCAAUUCAAAGCAAAACCCAGAAAAACAGCUUGUGGAGCAGUGGGACAAGAUCCACCUGGAGAAAAGGCGCCUCUCCUGCC